UUCCAUGAUGAGGACAAUAUCGAAUGUAUCCUUGCAAACGCUCCCAUGCUUCUGAAAUGGUUUCUAUCUUUAGCUGUUGGAAGUUGGUAAUCUUUCCUCUUAAGGCA
rnacentral:snoRNA from 1 species